CUCGGUGACAAUAGCGGAGGGGCUCCACCCGUUCCCAUUCCGAACACGGAAGUUAAGUCCUCCAGCGCCGAUGGUACUGCAGGGGAAACCCUGUGGGAGAGUAGGUCGUCGCCGAGC
rnacentral:rRNA from 1 species